rnacentral:lncRNA from 1 species
CUAAGGAGAAAAGGUUAAAUUUAAUUGCAAUCUGUUAUGAACAUAAUUAUAGUAAAUGUCCAAUUGUGUAACUCCUCAUUCUAUGGUUAAUGUAUUUUAUUCCCUUCCUUUAUGUGUAUGAUUUAAUGUAUUUUAUUCUCCUCUGUUAUGUGUAAUAAUGUUAGAAAAUGUAGGUUAUGAUUUCAUGAGCUUAUAAAUAGAGUUCUCAUUUGUAACAUUCUACACACCUCAAUAAAAAAGUAUUUCUCCUCUCAUGUUUUUGUUCUCUCUUUUGUUCGUAGUUUUAUAACACAAUCCAAUUAAGUUAAUUCCGGACAAAUUUCGGUUAGAUUGUAUCGAUUUAGGUGUCAUUCCAUGUAAAAAGACAAUUUUGCACCUGGACAUUUAUUGAGCAUGCUGAUCAGUCAAACUUGGUUCGAUUCAAAAUCGAAUCGGCUGGGUCAAUAGUGGCGGUUGGACUGACUGGUCAAACUCGAGUUGAUUUAGAAGUCCAAUUAGUUGGGUCAGUUAGUAAGGCAGAUAGGUCAGAUUUUAGAUCUAUUAGAGGAUCAUUUUCGCCUUUUCAAAUUUGAUUCUUUCGACAUAGAAAUGAUUUUAGAUCGGUCAGUCCCUUAGGAUAUAGGCCUGUCCCAUCUCACAGAUCAUGGCCAUCUUCAUCGACCCUGAAUCACGGACGUAAACGAGAUUAGGGAACGCAAUCAGGAAAGAGGAGAAGGAGUAGAAGGCGAUUUCAUACCAUACCUGCUCGCUCCUCCCCGUAAACUUGACUAAAGCCGGAUUCGAACUCCUCCAUCUACUCUCUUUGGUCGCUCAUCUUGAUGGAUUCCCCUUCCUGAGUAUUAGUCGCUGAAAUUAGAAGAUUAGGAAGCGAGUGAGUUAGAAUUGAGCGGAUUUGACAAAAGGUUUAGAUCCAGAAGGAAACUAAGAGAGGAAGGGGAGAUCGUAACCAUACGUACCCGAGGGAGAUUCGCCAGGUGGGAGGGUCGAGCUAAUUCCAUUGGUGGGAGUCUAGAUCAGAGGAGGCCACUGCUAGUUCAAGCGAGAAAGGAUGAGAGGAUUUUGGGUGUGAGGCGGCUGUAGAGAGGAGGAUAUGAGAGAAAGCCCUUUUCUCCUAGGGUUACACGAUUUAGA